AACGAUGAAUGCUAAGUGUGGAGGGUUCCGCCUUCAGUGCUGCAGCUAACGCAUUAAGCAUUCCGCUGGGGAGUACGGCCGCAAGGCUGAAACUCAAAGGAAUCGACGGGGGCCCGCACAAGCGGUGGAGCAUGUGGUUUAAUUCGAAGCUACGCGAAGAACCUUACCAGGUCUUGACAUACUAUGCAAAUCUAAGAGAUUAGACGUUCCCUUCGGGGACAUGGAUACAGGUGGUGCAUGGUUGUCGUCAGCUCGUGUCGUGAGAUGUUGGGUUAAGUCCCGCAACGAGCGCAACCCUUAUUAUCAGUUGCCAGCAUUAAGUUGGGCACUCUGGUGAGACUGCCGGUGACAAACCGGAGGAAGGUGGGGAUGACGUCAAAUCAUCACGCCCCUUAUGACCUGGGCUACACACGUGCUACAAUGGAUGGUACAACGAGUUGCGAACUCGCGAGAGUAAGCUAAUCUCUUAAAGCCAUUCUCAGUUCGGAUUGUAGGCUGCAACUCGCCUACAUGAAGUCGGAAUCGCUAGUAAUCGCGGAUCAGCAUGCCGCGGUGAAUACGUUCCCGGGCCUUGUACACACCGCCCGUCACACCAUGAGAGUUUGUAACACCCAAAGUCGGUGGGGUAACCUUUAGGAACCAGCCGCCUAAGGUGGGACAGAUGAUUAGGGUGAAGUCGUAACAAGGUAACCA
rnacentral:rRNA from 1 species